CCCCCGCCCUUCGCUGUUCACCUCAGGCUGAGCCCAGGUGAAUGGGGGGGUGUUCCGCGCAUGCGCAUGAAUGGAGCCGCGCGGGGCUCAGGUGGAGCUGCACCCGCGGGGUUGGGUUGAGGAGAAGGAGGGAGGAGGUUCGACCGUUACUCCGCGGAGGUAAUUAGCCAGCCCGCACUAAUUGCGAGCCAGCUGGGCCGGGCAAACUGCGGUGAGCGGCUAACCAAGCCCUCGGCCCACGCCUCGCCCUGGGGUGGCAGUUGAGGGGGCGGGAGGGGGUCGCGGUCAUGCCGGGAGUCGCGUUGCCGUCGGUACCGCAGGGAACCCCCACUCCUCACCGAGAAACGGGGAGAAGGCGUUGGGAAGCGAACUGGAAGGGUGGUGGAGGGUGACAGCUGCCCCUCAGGAGCCAGCUUUCAGGGCUAGAAUCCCCUAGCAAGGGAGAUAUCACCCCAUCCAGGGCCUGCAGAACCAUGUGAGCUGUGCUGCUGUGAGAUGGGACUCAGUUUACCAGAGCUGUUGGCUUUUCCCAGGCACUGAUGUCUCUCUCCCUCCACAGGAGAGUUUCUUUUUGCUGACAAUGUCGCCCUCGUUGCUCACACAGAAACAGCUCUGCAGCACAUAACAUCCUGCUUUGCAGAGGCUGCAGAUUUUUGGGGCUGGAAGUCAGCUUGAAGACGACAGAAGUUCUUUACCAGCCUGCACCACAGGAAGACUUCCAUCAUCCCCACAUCAUCACAGGCGAAUCAGAGCUUGUCAGUCUAGCCGUUCAGCUAUCUGGGGUGCAUUAUUUCCUCAGAUGCCAAGAUCAACAAAGAGAUAGACAACAGAUUAGCAAAGUCAUACACUGCAUUCGGAAGACUUCAUAAAAGAGUCUGGAGCAAUAUACUUGAAGCAAAGUACAAAGAUUAGUGUCUACAGAGCCAUUGUACUGUCCACAGGUCAUCUACUGCCACCAUCUAUGACUCCUUGAACGCUUCCAUUGGUGCUGCCUCCAUACAAUCCUAAACAUCCACUGGACUGACUAUGUGACCAGUGCUCCUGUCCUUGAACAGGCAGGGUCACCAGUACUGAGGCCAUGUUACUGAGGUCGCAGCUGCUCUGGGCAGGGCACAUCUCCAGGAUGGAGGAUCACCACCUCCCUAAGACUGUGCUCUAUGGUGAACUUGCCACUGGCUACUGGAAGAGAGGAGUCCCAAAGAGGAUAUACAAGGACUCCCUGAAACAAUCCCUUAGCUUUGGCCAUAUUGACUGCUAUUAGUGGUCCACUCUGGCCUCCAGUCUGGAGACAUGGAGACAACACCAUCCAUAUCGCUGCUGCCUCCUUUGAGAACACACGGAGAAUCAGUCUCGAAGAGAAAAGACAGUGCAGAAAGAGCCAUACCUUGGCUGUCUCAUCACAGGAGACUUUCUGCUGUGCCUUUUGCAACUGGACUUGCCUAUCCCACGUUGGCCUUAUCAGCCAUCAGCACACUUCCAGCAAGCGUGGGGAGAGCCCUUCUUAAAUCUUUGUUUGCGAAGUCAAGCCAUGAUGAUGGCUCUGUGCUUCAUCCCAACUCCUGCUGGGAUUUCAGCUGGGGGACCAGCCCUUCUAGCUCUCUUUCCACAGGCAACAGGGAGAUAAGCUGCCUUCCUGCAGCCCUACCUGCCUCGUCCCACAGCAAGAGGUGACUCUUGGUGGCUGGUGACAGCCCUAAGUGGAACAGCACUGGCUUGAUGUUUCACUGAGGCCUCCACAUCAUAACAAUUCGGUUUGGGAAUGGCCUGAACUAAGCAUGAUGUGACACUGAGACCCUUGUGAGAGUGCACUUGGGACUCUUUGUCCUUCCCCCAGGGAAAAAGGGCCCUUGGAGCUGGGUCCUGCUCAAGGACCCUGCAAAGGACAGGCCUUGCCCCACUAGGAAAAGAAGCCAAGGAUGGGAAGAUAAAAUGAGGCACAAAGCUGGUGCUGACCCCUCACUGACCCAGUCUGCAACUCAGCCAGUUUACUCUCAGAUGAAUGCUUUAUCUUUUAGGUAUCAUGCCAUGUCCUGCAGGAUCUAGAAUCCUCUUAAGCAAUAGGAAAGGAAGCAAAAGGAAAACAAAGAAGUUUUCCUGCUAGCUCUUGUCACAGGAAGUCUGAGGGAACCACUGAGUGCAGAGGCCUGGGGCUCUGAGACCCUUCAGAGCAAAGUAGAAGUUCAAGCAGAGGAAAUUCCUGUUCCCAUCCUUUCAUCUCCUUUACUAGUUCAGUGUAAGGCUACAACUAAAGAUACCCCAAAUAGUAUUGCAGAGCUAACAUCUACCAGCAUGUCCUUGUGCCCAAAAUUAGCCCUUCAGAGCAGCAGGGUACAGGCAGAUUUGACAGUCUAAGAUGACACACUCAGCUCUCCAUGAGGAGUGUUUUAAUGCUGCAAGCUCCUGGGUCCUUAAGCUCCAGUGCACUAAGGGAGCUCAGCCUGGGCUGGGCAGCAGGAACAGCCUUGUGUAACAGAGAAAUCUGGCAGAUCCAUGGGUAGGGUAUAACCUUUCUUUGGAGUUCUGGGAGCAAGUUGGUAACAUGACUGUAUGAGCAGUCA